rnacentral:tRNA from 1 species
GCCCUCAUAGCUCAGCAGGACAGAGCACCGGUCUACGGCACCGGAGGUCGGGGGUUCGACUCCUCCUGAGGGCACCA